rnacentral:rRNA from 1 species
CCCUUAGAUGUCUUGGGCUACACGCGUGUUACAAUGGUGUGAAUGGCAAGUUUUAUUAUUGGCGCUUUAACAAGUGCUUUUAUCUUGUGCAAUCACACCUUGUUUGGGCUAGACUAUUGCAAUUUUUAGUCUUGAACAAGGAAUUCCUAGUAAGCACAAAUCAUUAGUUUGUGCUGAUUAUGUCCCUGCCUUUUGUACACACCACCCGUCGCUGCAACUGAUUGGGUGAUUUGGUGAAUUCUUUGGAAUCGCAGCUCCAUUGAUGUUGUGAUCGAAAAAGUGUGAAUCAAAUUCACUUAGAAGUUGCAAAAGUCGUAACA